CAGCCCUAAACCGAUGCGCGUUAGGUGUAUCGGUGACCACGAGUCACCGAGGUGCCGAAGGGAAACCGUGAAACGUGCCGCCUGGGAAGUACGGUCGCAAGGCUGAAACUUAAAGGAAUUGGCGGGGGAGGCACCACAACGGGUGGAGCCUGCGGUUUAAUUUGGACUCAACGCCGGGAAGCUCACCGGAUAAGACAGCGGAAUGAUUGCCGGGCUGAAGACCCUGCAUGACCAGCUGAGAGGAGGUGCAUGGCGUAGACGUCU
rnacentral:rRNA from 1 species